ACUAGAAGAAUAAGACUGCUGAUUCAAAAAAUCUUUUCAUUUCGUAGUUUAGUCAAACCUUUCGUUUUAUCAGAUUUCUUCUCAGAGUUUAUGAUUCCAAGUUGCUUGCUGCUAAGCACCCUCCAUUUUUAAAAAUAGGUUAAAGAUAUGUCUAAUACUGUUACUGGUACAGUGAAGUGGUUCAACGAAACUAAAGGUUUUGGCUUUAUUCAUGCAGACUCUGGACAAGAUGUUUUUGCACAUUUCAGUGAAAUUCAAAGUACUGGCUUUAAAGUUUUACAUGAAGGUCAAAGAGUUACUUUUACGAUCACUGAUGGUAAGAAAGGACCACAAGCAACAGGUAUUACUGUUGUGCCUUAAAACACAGCAAUAGCUUUAAAGAAGCCCGCGAUUUGUGGGCUUCUUUGU
rnacentral:sRNA from 1 species